GGGCAUAUGGUUUAAUGGUAUAAUACUCCCUUAGCAAAUAUCUUCAUAAGGAUUUGUCUUAUCUGGGAGAGGUCCGGGGUUCGAUUCCCCGUUUGUCCA
rfam:Metarhizium anisopliae BRIP 53293 unplaced genomic scaffold Scaffold_10, whole genome shotgun sequence.